GUAGAGUGUGGGUGCAGUAUGGACUCUUGACUGACUUUAGUCACAGCGAAUAGAGUCCGUGUAAAGUUUGUGCAAAAAAAUCAGUAGUCGAUGUCUUGACAUUGUCUACUCGACCGUCUUAAACAGGACAUUCCCGCCACACAGUCGUUGUGUGCAAAUGUCUGAAUUAUUAUCCGAAGUUUAUCACACCAUUGUUCAGGUGUUUUGAUUUGCCUCACCUGAGUGUUAGCUCGUUAGCCCACGGUGUUUGUGUCAUUAGCAUGCAUUAGCAAGGUGACUGGACCGUUAGCCGCCGCGUGGCUAACACAGCUCGCGCCGAAGAAGAUAAGUUCAUCGUUUUUGCCGUCGUGGAAAACUUGAGGAUUUGCGAGACCGUGCUGGAGAUGUCCGGCCAACGCUCAGGGCUCCUUCAACUUGGAGGGAGUGACCGCGCCAUCUCUGGACACUGGUCCAGGUCCGCCACCUUGAUCUUCGCGGGAGAACCUGAAGACUGGUCGUCAGCUGCUCGAGGCCUGCGCCUGCCUGCCGCCUGCCUGCCGCCUGCCUGCCGCCUGCCUGCCGCCUGCCUGCCGCCUGCCUGCCGCCUGCCUGCCGCCUGCCUGCCGCCUGCCUGCCGCCUGCCUGCCUGCAGCUUCCGAUUGGACUCAGAAGUGAACCAAGACAUUACGUUGGGCUUCAUGCUGUCAGCUGGAUGACUGAACCUGACGGAGUUCUGGUCCAGUCUUUGCUCUACACCUGCACUUGUGGUCUUCGCACUGCUGUCCGCAUGUUUGUCCACCGAAGAGAGGAAUGAGAGGUGGCACAGCCCAGAUCGGGAUCUAAAGUCAGAGGAGCUGUGAAUGAACAAGAGCGGUGAAGGUGCUCCCACAGUCAUACCGCGGUCUUCCUUGACUGAAUGUUUGUGCCAAAUCUGGAGAAAUUCCCUUCAAGAUAUCAUGUUCAUGGGAAGGAUGAAGGAAGGAUGUACGGCCAGAUUGGCAACCUUAAAACUUAAUGCCUCCGGUAACAGUGUCAUAAAGGGCUGACACAAACUCAGGAGACCUUCAGUGGGGCGCAACAGUCUCCGGGUAAAAUGGACUUGGCCGGUGGAGCAGAAUGGAGCGGCGGCGUCGGACGCUAGGUGUCACCCUUGUGACUUUAAAGCGGCCUGCCCUCGGCAGGCAGGCUGCAUGGGAGGAGAGCGCGCGUGCGCGUGCGCGCGCGUGUGUGUGGAUGAGAGCAGUGAGAUUACAGGGAGGGUGAUGAGAGCCUGCAAUAUGUGCAGGGCUACUAUAGAGGAACUUCAUAUCCCCCCCCCCCCCUUUUUUAUUAUCAUUGGCAGAGUGCUUCUCUUACUUGUGCUGGCUGGCGUGUGACGGGGGUGAAUUGUUCUCGUCCCGAGCAGCUUCAACACGGUGUCGGUCUGAAUUACACGGGGGAAAAGGGAGAAGGGACGCACUGAAUAAUAUCUGAUAAUUGAUCUGUUUUUCCCUCCUUCCUUUUCCUACGCGGAUCGGGGACAGGCCGGAGGUCACAGUCCGCCCGCCUCAUUAUUAACCUUUAUAAAUACGCGGACUCUGCAGCUGACAAACACAAACGGUUUGACGGCGCCAGAGGCAAAGUUUAGUCGUUUUCAUGGGAUAUUUCGUUCACAUUAAACACACUCCGUGUUAGGCUGACGACUAUUGGUGACGUGUUGAUUCAGAUAAUGACGAUAUGUUUAAUUCAGUUCGCCACGUUAACAGUAACCUUAAAUAAACUGUCAAUUAUUCAUUAACAAUUAGUCGUGACAUUCUGAGGAACAUAUAAUUCUCAACUCUGUUCAACGUGUUGUGUGUAAUUGUUUGGACGGAUCCGGGGGCAACGUUUAGUUGGCAAAACCUUUCAGGAUUUUUAUUUUCGUGGCAGGCCAAGAAGAAACAAAAUCUCGGGUUGUGAUGAUGUAUCGACCCUGCUGAUGUCAAGAUUUCCUCCCAACAAGUUGCUAUACAUGGAAAACCAUAAUCUAUGAUGUUUGCCCAGUAUUGGGAAUUGUCCCGACUUCAGGCGUAGCGCACAGUGAAGGCGAGAGAGCCGCGGAGUGAUGCAACCAGAUGCGCGCAGUUGCAGCGCGUACAGCAGGCAGAGCAA